GCCAGUAGUAAAGUUGCAGAACAACAGAGGAAACAACAAAUACUCAUACACCAGCAACUCUGACGAUAACCUGCUGAAGAACAUUGAACUGUUUGACAAACUCGUCCUGCGAUUUAAUGGCCGCGUCCUGUUUGUCAAAGACGUGCUGGGGGAUGAGAUCUGCUGCUGGUCUUUUUAUGGCGAAGGCCGCAAGAUUGCUGAAGUGUGCUGCACUUCCAUUGUCUAUGCUACAGAGAAGAAGCAGACCAAAGUUGAGUUUCCCGAAGCCCGAAUAUUCGAAGAAACCCUCAAUAUCCUCAUCUAUGAGAACAACAGAGGAUCUGGACCAGGAGGCUUGCACCUUUUAGAUUCAAGAGGCUCCGGUUCAUCGCUGGGAACUGGUCAGUCAGAGGAAGAGGGUGCCGUGGGAGGGAUAGACGAGUACGACGGAUCCACGUAAGGAGACACAUAAUGCAUGAUGAAAGAGGCCACGGUCAGCAAACUGUGUAUAAGGACUAAUAAUGUGAAAACAAGGCAGGGAAAGGGACUUAAAAAAAAAAUCCCAACAUAGUUUUUUUUGUUUGUUGUUUUUUUGUUUUU
ensembl:lncRNA